rnacentral:lncRNA from 1 species
AUUACAUAUUUUAUGUUUCCGUAAUUAAAUGUAUUAUUUGAUUAAUCAAAGAACAUAUAAAAGUGAUAUUAAAUAUCUGAAGAAUAAAAAUUAUCUCAUAAAAUGAAAGGCUAAAUUAAGAAUAUAUGAGAUUAAACUGAGAAUACAUAUAGUGACUUUUCAUUAAAUUAUUGGGAGAAAAUUAGUAAAACAUGAAGCAUUACAAUACAUAUUUUGUGGUAAAACAUUUUUAAUGAAAAUAAUGUAUAAACAAUUUUGUGUAUUAGUAAUAUCUAGCUAUGGUAAUAUUUGGAUCCUGAUAUAAGUAUAUCUGACAUCUCAUUCAAGUUAACAUAAUUUCUAGUAGUAUUUUUUCAUGACCUCUAUGAGCAGGUUUGGGUAAAAAAGGUCAAUAAGAAAUAAGUCUCUGUAUGGUAUAUACAAUGAUGUCAAGUAGCUGUAAGAUUUCGGAAUAAGAGGUAAAACUAACGUAGCUGACAUGUAUCUUUGAUGUUUGGAUGAUGUAGUGAAUUCCCUCAGUUUCUCUGGACAAGAGUUUUAGCAAGUACCAGAAACCGCAAAUCACAGCUGAAGAAGGGCCAAUAGUCUCACUUCUGCCUCAAAUUACCUGUUUCCAGAUUUGAAGACUGUGAUUACCCAAGUCUUUAAGAGAUAUAAUGAAGACAGCACUUUGCACCCUUGAAUUUUACUCAUUGCAUUACAAUAAAGAGGAAUGCUCCUGGUAGAAGCAUUCUUCUCUCUUAAAGAUCUAAAAGAUUUCUAAGAUCUCCAGACCAGCAGAGCAUGACGUUGUGGAAAAAGAAAGCAAAAAUUCUGUGACUCACUAAGGGUAAU